rnacentral:rRNA from 1 species
AAUGAACGCUGGCGGCAGGCCUAACACAUGCAAGUCGAACGGCAGCACAGUGAUUGCUUGCGCAUACGGGCGGCGAGCGGCGGAAGGUGCCCGUAUAUAUGGGAGUCUACCUGUUAGGGGGUGCUAACACCGGAGAACUUACUCUAAUCCAGCAUACGACGUACGUGGGAGAGCCUGGGAUCUUCGGACCUUGCGCGAGUGUAAGAGCCGAUGUCGGCUUAGCUAGUUUGCGGGGUAAAGGCGCACCAAGGCGACGAUCGGUAGCUGGUCUGAGAGGAUGAUUAGCCACACUGGAACAGAGAAACGGCCCAGACUCCUAAGGGAGGAAGCAGUGGGGAAUAUUGGAGAAUGGGGGAAAGGCUGAUCCAGCCAUACCGCGUAGGUGAAGAAGGACUUCGGCUUGUAAAGUGAUUUAGGUGGGAAGGAAGAGCAGCAGGUUAAUACCGGGCUGUUAUGACGGUACCGAAAGAAUAAGCACCGGCUAACUUCGUG